rnacentral:rRNA from 1 species
CGGCUAACUCCGUGCCAGCAGCCGCGGUAAUACGGAGGGUGCGAGCGUUAAUCGGAAUAACUGGGCGUAAAGGGCACGCAGGCGGCUAUUUAAGUGAGGUGUGAAAUCCCCGGGCUUAACCUGGGAAUUGCAUUUCAGACUGGGUAGCUAGAGUACUUUAGGGAGGGGUAGAAUUCCACGUGUAGCGGUGAAAUGCGUAGAGAUGUGGAGGAAUACCGAAGGCGAAGGCAGCCCCUUGGGAAUGUACUGACGCUCAUGUGCGAAAGCGUGGGGAGCAAACAGGAUUAGAUACCCUGGUAGUCCACGCUGUAAACGCUGUCGAUUUGGGGAUUGGGCUUUAAGCUUGGUGCCCGUAGCUAACGUGAUAAAUCGACCGCCUGGGGAGUACGGCCGCAAGGUUAAAACUCAAAUGAAUUGACGGGGGCCCGCACAAGCGGUGGAGCAUGUGGUUUAAUUCGAUGCAACGCGAAGAACCUUACCUACUCUUGACAUCCAUGGAAUCUUGUAGAGAUAUGAGAGUGCCUUCGGGAACCAUGAGACAGGUGCUGCAUGGCUGUCGUCAGCUCGUGUUGUGAAAUGUUGGGUUAAGUCCCGCAACGAGCGCAACCCUUAUCCUUUGUUGCCAGCGAUUCGGUCGGGAACUCAAAGGAGACUGCCGGUGACAAACCGGAGGAAGGUGGG